GAUGAACGCUGGCGGCGUGCCUAAUACAUGCAAGUCGAGCGGACCAAAGAGAGCUUGCUCUCUGAGGUUAGCGGCGGACGGGCGAGUAACACGUGGGUAACCUGCCUGUAAGACGGGGAUAACUUCGGGAAACCGAAGCUAAUACCGGAUGAUAAAGAGAAACGCCUGUUUCUUUUUUGAAAGUCGGCCUUGUGCUGACGCUUACAGAUGGGCCCGCGGCGCAUGAGCUAGUUGGUGAGGUAACGGCUCACCAAGGGGACGAUGCGUAGCCGACCUGAGAGGGUGAUCGGCCACACUGGGACUGAGACACGGCCCAGACUCCUACGGGAGGCAGCAGUAGGGAAUCUUCGGCAAUGGACGAAAGUCUGACCGAGCAACGCCGCGUGAGCGAUGAAGGCCUUCGGGUCGUAAAGCUCUGUUGUCAGAGAAGAACAAGUACCGGAGUAACUGCCGGUACCUUGACGGUACCUGACCAGAAAGCCACGGCUAACUACGUGCCAGCCGCCGCCGUAACAC
rnacentral:rRNA from 1 species